GCCAAUGUCAUAAAGAGGCAUUGGGCCUGGGCUAAAGUGAACCUUGCUAUUAUCGUCUAAAUUGGAAUAUGGUACAUGUAUUGGGCAUGAUUAGUUAUGAUGCUUAAGUGUCAUAAAGAGGCACUAAGCAAGUGAGUGUUGGGAUAUCACUUUGUGACAUAGAGCUAGACCGUUGGGUUACUAGUAGCUACUACCAUGUUUAAGAUAUGAGGAUUGGACACUUGAGACUUGGACUAUGCUUGCUUGCCAUUUGUGCUCAUUCGCACAUGCUUGUGAGGGUCGCUCCCUACAAGCCGGCACUCCGGAGUUAGCCUAUGCGACUUAUGUUCGCUCGUGCGGUAUUGAGAGGCCUACGAGGUCGAGUGGGAUAGACACAUUCCAAGAGUAGGGAUGUUGGGCUACCACAGGCACUUAGGCGGCACAAGCUGGACUACCUUUGGUAAGUCCUUAAUUGGAAAUCAAAAUCGACACGGUGUUGAGAAUGAAUAAUCACUACUAGAUAGGCUUAGUAGUUGGAUUACUUGACAUGCUCAUGACAUAGCUUUGGGGCAUAUAGUAUACUGGGUCGCUUUGAUAGAGCUUACUCCUUAUGCAUUGACAUAUUGCAUCGUGAGGUUUACUUGUUCAUUAUGUUAUGGCAUAUUAGUAUGCAUUGGACAUACCAUCUUGUGAUAGUGUAGAUGUACAUUACCAUGACAUCAGGCUUACUUGAGACAUAGUAGUAUAGCAUUUCAUUUAUGCUUUCUUUCAGCAGUUCUUAUACUCGCUCUUUAUUGUUUGUUAUUAUUGUUGUUACUUACCCNUGCUCUCCAUCUGGUGGAUAGCUUAGCAGGAGCUUCCUUCGAUCGAGCUUCGUUGAGGGAAGAGCGCCAGGGAUCGGAGAGGGCCGCACCUUCCGAGACUUUUGUAGUUCUUUUGCUCCCGCACUCUUGAUAUUAAAUAUCAAGGGUCACCCGUUAAUGACUGGAGUCGAGUUACGUGGUGAUCCGGGGUUUUCUUUUCCCAUUCAUUGUUGUUAUUAUUGUUUGUUAUUUCUCGCUCAUAUUCUUGACGACUUUCUUUCGUAUUUACUUUACGAUAUGAUGAUACAGAGUUCAUUCGGACUACAGUACCAUUACAUGUAGAUGUGAUAGUGUUCUACCAUACAGGUUACGUAUGAUUAUACGGUAUUGUAUUACUUGUUCAUUUGGAGUGCUACGUUAUACAGUUACGUAUUCCUCAUUCGAGAUAGUUUCGCUGGGUCAUAUGAUAUACGGGGUUUCGAUACAGUACUCGUACAGUUCAUUAGGUUGAUGAUUCGGAUAGAUCAUCACUAAUAAGUAAGAGUUGUGGCACAGCUAAAACUAAAGGUUAAUUCCUGAAUGGUUUCCAUCAGGUCGAACACGGCGGAUUCACGGACACCAUCGGGUUGUAGGGAUGAGAACCUUACACAGAUAGGGUGAGCUGGAGCAUCCGGAGAGUUAUGGCGUGCUCGCUUGUAUUCAGCGUAUCCGAUUGAGGCCUCACGGCCGAACAUCCCUCGCUGGGAGUGUUCGUACACGCUUACUCGUGUUUACCGUUCGUUCGUAUCAGGUUCAGAGUUCUAUUUUAUUUGAGAGAGGUCGAGAGUUGUACCCGCUCAUGUAUAGAGACCACCAUUUUUGUACUAGAGACAGUUAUUGUACUACUUUAUGUCUUAUCUUUACUGUUUUGGUUAUGUAUCCUUUACUCUGGUUAUAGAUGUUAGAACUUUAUCCGCUUUGAUAUCAUUAGUUGUCUUUUACUCGGAUUGUUCUAUCUCUUAUUUUAUUUCCGCUGUUGUUGUAGACGCCUUAUAUGUGUAGACAUAUGGCGAGUCUGGGCAAGCUACCGGGAGGGCCUCCGCCGGUCCCGAGGCUUGACAGAUUAAUUUGGUAUCAGAGCCUAGGGUUGAGUCUUAGAGGACCUAGCAAACCUUAGGCCGGUUGGACUAUAGGAGAUAGGCCCGUGAGAGACGAAGUCUAACUGAAUUGUUAGCGAAAGUAUUUCGAUUGGGUUUAUGAUAACUCUAAAAAGUUAGAGUUCGAUCAGAGUGUAUGGCUUCUAACUUCGCGGAGGGUUAUGUUGGCGGCCGACAACGUAACAUCGGGAGUUAGUUGUGGAUAACACUUCCUUACUUUCGCGUGAUUACGGUUUUGUUAUUUGAGCGGGGAUUCGAUAGCGCGGGUUACUAACUUGCGCUUUUAUGUUCUGUAGUGACGAUGCCGAUUACACGCUCCCAGUCUGCCGGGGCAGAUGAUGCGGCACACCCUGAGGAGGUCGAGACCUUCGCUACUUCCGGAUCUAGUGAGGUCCGUGACGUGAGGACCCAGCUUGCGGCCCUCACUGAUCUGUUGGCGCAGCAGACGGCAGCGGCGCAGCGACAGGCUGAGGUGGCUCAGCGGCAGGAUGCGCGGAUGAAGCAUCUUGAGGACCUCCUACUUCAGCAGGCAGCAGCUUCGAGGGAGACCCAGGGUCCCGCACCGCCAGCACCGGUGGUGGACGUCGCACCGAGAGCGCAGUCCCCCGCGCUCAGUUCUUCACGUGCGGCACCGGCGACUACACCGCGGGAGGAGGUGGCUGCGGUACCUCCAGUUUGGAGACCGAUCACGGAGGCAGCUUUCCCCGUGAGGGCCGAGGGAGCCGAGCGGGAUCGGCUCAUGGAUCGCCUCAGUGAGUUCAGGAGGUGCAGCCCGAGGACGUUCGAUGGCGAGAACGUCGACACUGGAUUGUUGAGAAGUGGUUGAUGCAUAUGGAGAAGCUAUUUCGAGAUACCUUUGUGGAGGAGAGGGACAGAGUGUGGCUUGCCACACACUUCUUGGACGGCGAGGCCUACCGUUUGUGGUUGGAUAUUCUAGACAACCCCAACACCGAUUUGGCAGCGAUCACUUGGGCGAGAUUCAAGGAGAUGCUUCUGGCGCACUACUUCCCUACCAGCGCCAAGAGGAAGAUGGAGCAGGACUUGCGCAGCUUGAGCCAGGACGAGCGGUCAGUGGCCGAGUACGAGAGGGAGUUCUCCCGGCUACUUCAUUGUGUACCGUUUGUUGUGAGGGAUGAUGAGGACAAGGCCCGCAUUUUUGAGCGUGGAUUGCGGCCUUCUAUCUUUCGGUUGGUACAGUCCUCCAACCUCCAGACCUACCGGGAGGUUGUGGAUCGAGCACUGAUAGUGGAGGCAAAAGCGGCGGAUCUUCAGGAGCGUCGUGAGAGCUCGGAGAAAGGGAGGGGAAAGAGGCCCGCGGCUGAGGGUGCGAGUCAGAUUGUAAGGUACCAGACUUCUAAAAAUAUGAAGUUAUGGUGUACAUUUAAAUGGUUCCGGUGAGGUUGCGGUGUAAUGUAAUAUACCGGAUUUAAAUAUAAAAAUAAAAAAUAAAUAAAAAUAGUAUGAGAUACUGUUUUUAUUGGAUUUAGAGAAGUGAAAUAUAGGUUGGGAAUGACCUGUGCUAAAAUUGGAGCGAAAACAGAAGAUUUAGAAUUUUCUGUGAGAAACGGGACAGAUAAAUUAGCAGAAAAUGCACAGUCUCAGAAAAUUAUGAAAAUUGGAGGAUAAGUCAGAAAUAUUUUUAUGAGGCUAGGUUUAAAGUUUCAUAUUUUUCUAACACCCGUAGAGUGAGAAAUAAAAUCCGAUAGCUAUCUGAUAAAGAUUACAGUUCGGUGCAGCUUUCAGUGACCAAACGAGGUCGAAAUUGAAAACUUAAGAUAUAUUCUUACUCAGUACGUUGAACUGAGCCUGCCUGUCAAAUUUGAGCUCAAACGGACAUUCAGAAGGGCUCCAACUGCUCCGAACUGCUAAACUGAUAUAGUGGUGCAAGUGGUAGUAAAUGUGAGGGGGUUUCCUGCAAUUGUGGCAGCCCCAUAUGUGGUGCGGCUGCUUGGCCGAAGCAUCACACGCACACACACCUUCUCUUCUCCUUCUCUCCCUCACACUUGCAACCAUGGAGAGCUCUCUCUCUCUCUAGGAAUAAGAAGCCAAGAGAGAGGUUUGGUGAAGCUUGGAAGUGAAUCUUCAUCAUCUUCUUCCUCUUCUUCAAGCUUGGAGGAAUCUUGUGAGGUAAAGCACUAACCCUUUAAUGGUAGAAUGUUAGGGCUUCAAUUAUACGCUCUAGAAAUGGUUUUAGGCAAACCUUAGGAGGUUACUAGGAUGAUUCUAACAUGAAUCUAUGGUUCUAUUAGUGUGCUUUGCACUAAUUGCAACAUAGAGCUCCAAAAUAAGGGCUUUAAUGGUAGAUCUCUAAAGAUAGGUCCAAAUGCUUUGGAAAUGGUUUUAGUGGAACCCAUUGAUGCCUAAUAGAUGAUUAUUGCAUGAAUCUAAAGUUGUAGUAGAGUAUUCUUGCAAUAGUUGAAACCUAGGACUCAAAAUGGGAUUUUUAUAAAUUGUUGGGUUUGAUCUCUUUUAACCCGCUAUUUACCUAAUUGCUAGGUCUACGAACGCGUUGGAAGCGACGGUUCGGUGAUUCGUCGAGCCGGUGCAAAGUUAUUAAAGAAACGGACGUUUAGGCUUCGUUUCGGCCUGGAGGGCCGAGGCGACGUCGUAAAAUCCUGGAAACGGAUUUGGAGCAUCGUAACGAGAAACCGAAGACCUUUAAUUUUCGGAUUUCGGAUCGGAGGUCGUUCGGUGGUCGUGCGUGGUUUGGGUCGAGCCGAGCGGCGUGCGCCGCGGGAGGCCGAUUGCAAGUGACGACGAGCAAUCGGAACGCUGUGAAAGGUGGGGGGUGUCCAUCCCGAAGCAACUGAGCUUCUUCCUAUGUCUUAGUACUUUAUCAAUUUGUAUAAAGCAUAUUGUAUGUUGCUAUGCAUUAUAGGAUGACAAUACAUGCAUUCCUAAUCCUUAUAUGAUGUUUAUGAUCAAUAUAGUAUUAUGAUAUGGAUAUAUGAUGUAAUGGACAUAAGGAUUAUGAGAUGACAUUGGUAAACCUAUGAUGCUAAAUGAAAGAAGAACCUAGUGUUGUGUUUAAAGACAUAGUUUACAAGUGGCAUUGAACUCAUUGUGCUAAAAACACAUAUGACUUGAACUAGUAAUGGAUUGGUUGUUGUACUAGAAACUCUAGUUAACAUUGAUCAAGUUGCAUAUUGGGAUAUUGCAUUAUAGGGUACUAGUUGGCAAUUGUUACAUGUCAUGGCAUGCUAGUGGGAGUGUAGUGUUACUUGAUUAAUACUUGUACCUAGUAUGCAUGAGAUUGGGACUUAGUGUGGUGAAACCCUAUAAGGGCAUGAUUAAUGUGGAUUAAACUUUAGUUGAGUACAUUAAUCGAUCAAGUUGCAUAUUGUAUUUAUUGCAUAUAGGUGCUAGAUGAUUAUGGUUAUUGCUUAUAUUUGCAUGCUAGUAGCUAUACAUCUUGAUGAUUGAUCCAUGAUCUAGUAUGCAUGAGAACCUAGACCCUAUAUGUGAUGAUUAAUGUUUAUGUGAUUAAAGAACUAGUAUGACGAAACUAGUGUUAAAAAUGAGUCUAAAUGACGAGUGGCAUCUAGUUUAGAAAACUAUGACAAGUGGCAUCUAGUUAUAGAAAACUAUGAUGUGAGGCAUAUGAUUGUUGAUAACCUUGGCAUGAGAACAUUAGUGUAGUUGUGACACUAUGAGAUUGGGUACAAGAACACCUCGAUUCCAUGAUGAGAUUACCCUUAGAGGGUAGGUUGCUGAUGUUCGUGAGUUGAUCGUGCUCACAUAGCCUGUCUGCGCUUGGAGGGGUCGCUCCCCACAAGCUGUGCACUCCGGAGGUUGGUCACUAGAGGGACAGUCAGUGUGCUGUCUGGACGGUCUGUGUGCUGUCCGCAGGCGGUCUCGGGGAGUAGUUCAGUGAGACUUUCCCUAUGAGAUUUACACGUGAGAUAUGUUCGUGAACCCCGAGUUCACCAUGAGAUUUGGCUACCUAUUGAGUCAUACUCAUUAUUGUUGUUCAUGAUAGCUUGCUUCUAUAGUUGUUGUUGUUGUUCAUAGUAGCUUACUAGUGUGCAUAGUAGCUUACUUAUUGCUCAUGCAUUCAUGAUAUACUAUUCCUUCACCUAUGAGAUUUGAGUGGAGUAGCCCUGUACCUAGUAGGUCGAGAUGUGAGUCGGGCAAAGUGCGGGGUAGCCUUUGCCUAGGACUUUGAGAUGUGAGUCGGGCAAGGAGUGGGGUAGCUCUUUGCCUAGGACCUUCGAGAUUGAGUCAGACCUUGAGAUGUGAGUCGGGCAAGGAGCGGGGUAGCUCUUUGCCUAGGACCCUUGAAACAUGUGUGACAAGAGUGAGGUAUCCCUUCACCUACUAGAUUUGAGACCUUAGGCAAGUUAGCCUAGUGGAUUGUGUAAUGACAUGAACGGCACAAGCGAAUUUGCAAUCAUACUAUGUUUAGAUAUAGUACACUGCAUAGCUAUGUUGUAGUUGUAUUUACUUCAUUGUCAAAGCAUACUAGCAUGAUAAAUGAUGUGACAUGCAUUCCUUGCAUUUGAUGGCAUAGUAGAUAUAGUAGCAAUUUAUUUCCAUAUAUCUCUCUCUUCUAUCUAUCUGUGCCAGCUUGGACAUAGUGGGAAGAUCGGCGGAGUCGGCGGCCGAACCUACUGGGAACUAUAUUUAUAUAGUUCUCACCCCGUGUGAUUUUGGGGUACAGGUACAUACGAGAGCGGACCGGCAGAUGAUCGCGGCAAGGGCUUAGCGCCCUAGUGCUAGUUGAUAGUUUACUUUCCUAUUUUGCAUUAGAGUUACCCUAUACAUGUAUUGAGAGUAGAUGAUGUAUAGGGUGUGAGGUAUUUUGAGAUAAAUGUAAACUAAUGUUAUCUUUUGAAGAAUGUACGCUUAUAUUCAUAUUUUGGAAAAGAAUGCAAGGUGUAAUUAAAUGUAUCAAGUAGAAUGGUUGUAAUAGAAUAGUUAAGUAUCUCUCUUUUGUUUCACUCGUAUGUCUACUACUUGUGACGCUUGCUCUUGUAAUGUUCAGCACUGUUUGUGCUUUAGUUGUUGUAUGAUUGUGUAUGUAUUCAAGUAUUUUCCUGGGAACUUGUUGUACACAAUCUCGUCAUUUGAGCCUUGGGCGGACAGGGGAGACUCUGUCUGUUUGGCGGUCCGCUUGCCGCGCCCGAACCGUGCCAAAUCUGUAGCGGCCUCGGGGCGGGGGCGUGACACAGACGUACUCACGGAGGCCGCCGAGGCAUCCCAGGAGCAGGAGCCAGUCACGAGGACGGGGCCAGUCUACUCAGCGAGGAGGACCCGACCGUCGCCAGGCUCCCCGCUGCGUGAUCUGUGGUGGUCACCACUACCCGCGACAGUGUUCACGCAGCCGGGGCAGGUGUUUCUUGUGUGGCCAGGAGGGCCACUUUCAGUCGGACUGUCCGAGGAGUCCAUUGCCAGCGCCAUCUUCGGCAUCUGCACCAGCAUCGCCAGGUCCCAGUCAGGGGACAUCUUCUGCGCAUCACCAGGCAGGGCGGCCGCUAGUUCAGCGGCAGGUGGAGGGGUCACGACAGGCCCCGAGCUGGCGCAUGUAUGCGGCCCAGACUGAGGAAGCAGCGGCAGCCAAGAAUGUGGUCGCAGGUAUCAUUUUACUUUAUGGUAUUCGAGCUAGAGCUUUGUUUGAUACCGGUGCAUCGCAUUCAUUCAUAGACCGGCUGUUUGCCAAGUUGCAUGGCAUCCCACUUGCAUUCUUGUUGCAUCUGGGACGAGUUGUUGUGCCCGAUCAUUAUUUGGACAUUCGGGAGUUUUGUCCCAGUUGCCCCAUUCGAGUUGGAGAUUGGAUCAUGCCCGUGGACUUGCUAGCUUUGCAUAAACUCGGGGAGUUUGAUGUUGUGUUGGGGCAUGGAUUGGUUGACCAGGUACUUUGUCACCAUUGAUUGCAAGAAUCGAACGGUGACGUUUAGAGAGCCGGGGCAGGCGGAGGUCGUGUACCGAGGAUGCCAGAGUUCGCUUUUUGCGAUGACGAUUAGCUCUUCUCAAGCUCGACAGUUGAUUAGUAGAGGCUGCGUAGCCUAUUUGGCUACUGUGGUGUUGAGGGGUGAUGAUGAUGCCCCCAGGAUUGAGGACAUCCCCGUAGUACGGGAGUUUGGAGAUGUGUUCCCAGCUGAGCUUCCGGGCAUGCCACCUGAUAGGGAGAUUGAGUUUGUGGUAGAUCUCGUUCCCGGGACUACCCCGAUCUCAAAGGCACCUUAUAGGAUGGCACCAGCAGAAUUGAAGGAGCUGAAGGCACAGUUACAGGAUCUUUUGGACAAGGGCUUUGUGCGACCGAGUGUGUCACCUUGGGGAGCACCGGUCCUAUUUGUCAAGAAGAAUGAUGGAUCGCUUCGCUUGUGCGUGGACUAUCGUGAACUUAAUAAAGUCACGAUCAAGAACAAGUAUCCAUUACCGAGAAUUGAUGAUCUUUUUUAUCAGCUCCAGGGAUCUUGUGUGUAUUCCAAGAUUGACUUGCAGUCGGGAUACCACCAGUUGAGGAUCAGACCUGAGGAUGUGUCGAAGACGGCUUUUAGAACACGGCAUGGACAUUAUGAGUUUACUGUUAUGCCAUUUGGGCUUACUAAUGCCCCGGCAGCUUUUAUGGAUUUAAUGAACCGUGUUUUCAAGCCUUACUUAGACAGGUUUGUCGUGGUGUUCAUCGACGACAUUUUGGUCUAUUCCCGAAGUGAUGCGGAUCACGAGGAACACUUGAGACUUGUACUUCAAGUGUUUCGGGAAAAGAAGCUCUACGCCAAAUUGAAGAAGUGUGAAUUUUGGCUUAGAGAGGUGGCAUUUUUGGGCCAUUUGAUUUCAGGAUCAGGCAUAGCCGUGGACCCGAGAAAAAUUGAAGCUAUCAAGGAUUGGCUGAGGCCGACGAGUGUCACGGAGAUUCGGAGCUUCAUUGGUUUGGCCGGCUACUACCGACGGUUUGUUGAGGGAUUUGCAAAGUUAUCUACUCCCCUCACAAGGCUCACGCAUAAAGGAACGAAGUUUAUUUGGAAUGAUGCGUGUGAAAGGAGCUUCCAAGAGUUGAAGCGGAGAUUGACGACCGCCCCGAUCCUAACCUUGCCAACUGCUGGAGCAGGGUAUGUUUUAAUGCAGGACGGGAAAGUGAUCGCGUAUGCAUCUCGCCAAUUGAAGGAUUAAUCGACGGAAUUAUCUACUUCCACGACUUGGAGUUGGGGCCCCGUUUGAGUCUUUGCAUGAAGCUAUGGGCUAUUAUCUCUACGAAGUAUACACGGAUCACAAGAGCUUAAAGUACCUGUUUACUCAGAAGGAGUUGAACUUGAGGCAGUGCAGAUGGUUGGAGCUACUCAAGGAUUAUGAUUUGACGAUCCUUUACCACCCGGGCAAGGCUAACGUGGUGGCGGAUGCGCUAAGUAGGAAAUCGAUGGAAAACUUAGCGAUGCAUGUUGUGACUCAACCGCAGUUGAUCGAGCAGAUGAAGCGGUUGGAGUUGGAGAUAGUGACUCCUGAUACACCUUUGAGGUUGAUGACAUUGGUGGUGCAACCUACCUUGUUGGAUAGAAUUAAAGAAAAGCAAGCUUCCGAUGUGGAGUUGCAAAAGAUUCGAGGUAAAAUGGUUGAUGGUUGCACCGGCGACUUCCUAUUGGAUGAUCAAGGAUUGAUGCGUUUCCGUGGGCGGGUAUGUGUACCUACGGAUUCGGGGAUUAAAGGAGAUAUUCUUCAAGAAGCGCACCGGGCGCCCUAUGCUAUACAUCCGGGUGGCACCAAAAUGUAUAAGGAUUUAAAGUUGCUCUAUUGGUGGCCUGGGAUGAAAAAGGAUGUUGGCGAGUUUAUCGCUAGAUGCUUAACUUGCCAACAAGUAAAGGCUGAACACCGAGUUCCCGCGGGAAAACUUCAGAGUUUGCCUAUUCCUGUGUGGAAGUGGGAGAAAAUCACCAUGGACUUUGUGACAGGAUUGCCACGCUCUCAGGCGGGGCACGAUGCUAUUUGGGUGAUCGUGGACAGGUUGACGAAAUCAGCACAUUUCAUACCUAUCCACACUACUUGGACUGGUAAGAGGCUCGCACAGGUUUAUUUGGAUGAGAUCGUGCGAUUGCACGGGGUACCUACUUCUAUAGUAUCGGAUCGAAACCCCCGUUUUGUAUCCCACUUUUGGAGGAGCUUACAGGACGAUUUGCGUACGCGCUUGGAUUUCAGCACUACUUUCCACCCCCAGAGUGACGGGCAGUCGAAGCGUACUAUACAGACUCUCGAAGACAUGCUUCAAGCCUGCGUGAUUGACUUCCAGGGAGGAUGGUCGCAGCAUCUACCGAUGGCAGAGUUUGCUUAUAACAACAGUUAUCAAGCAAGCAUCAAGAUGGCACCGUUCGAGGCACUCUAUGGACGGAAAUGUAGAUCGCCACUUUAUUGGAGUGAAGUUGGCGAGAAAUUGGCUUUAGGCCCAGAUGUGCUCCAGGAAGCAGAAGACAAGGUUCGCAUUGCUCGGGAGCGACUGUUCACAGCCCAGAGUAGGCAGAAGAGUUAUGCUGAUUGGCGUCGACGAGACUGGGAGUUUCAGAUUGGAGAUCAUGUCUUCUUGAAAGUCUCGUCGACUCGAGGGAUUAGAAGGUUUGGAAUCCGGGGUAAGUUGAGCCCCUGAUAUAUUGGACCGUAUGAGGUUUUUGAGCGUGUAGGCCCGGUAGCGUAUAGACUUGCUCUACCGCCAAAUCUAUCGGGUGUACACAACGUCUUCCAUGUAUCGGUCCUACGGAAGUACAUCCACGACCCGGCUCAUGUUUUGGACACUACGCCUUUGGAGCUGAGGGAGGACUUGAGCUUUGAGGAGCAACCUUUGCGGAUUUUGGCUCGCGAAGUAAAGAGAUUGCGGAACCGUGAGAUCCCCUACGUGAAGGUGCUUUGGAGCAACCACGACGAGCGCGAGGCCACUUGGGAGCUGGAGAGCGCACUGAGGGAGCGCUAUCUUUUUCAGAUGGAGGCUUGAGGUACUUGUCAUUUCGAGUUUCGCAGACGAAACUCCUUUUUAGGAGGGGUGAAUGUAACGCACUGAACCUUUGCAAAUUGCGAGGUUCAAGUGAUUGGAUGUGUUUCGAGCUUUUCCACACUUGGUGGAGAGUCGUAGAAUGUUUUUCGAUCCAAAAAGUUCGAAAAUCUGAGUUCUGGACGAGUCCUGAGAGUUUUUACUCUCGGGGACCGGUCCUUGAAAGGAGAGACCGGUCCCCCAGUGAACAGUGUUGCGCAGCCGGCGAGGCAACCGGUCCCUAGCGGGCGAGACCGGUCCCCGAGCGCGUCUUCGCUGUGAGAGACCGGUCCGGCGCAGGGAGAGACCGGUUCCCGAACGUUGGUUUUUCGGGUUCGCAGCGAGAGACCGGUCCCUGCUGGGGAGAGACCGGUCGCUCUGGGCGAAAACUGCCCAGUCCGGACUGAUGUAAAUUUGAGUUUUUGAGGGGCCUCUCUGGAUUUUGUUGCUCUAAAUGGUCUAUAAGGCCAUUUCACUCUCUUCCCUCCUCAUUUCUCACCCUCUCCCUACACCUUCUAGAGAGAGAAGAAGGAGAAGGAGGAGAAGAAGAAGAGGAGCUUGCUUGAGGGAGCUUGGAGCUCAACCCCUUUCUCUCCUUUCCACCCUUGCUUGGCUUGGAGCUUGCUUGUAGAGCUUGGUGGUGGGCCAAUCUUCAACCCUAGAAGAUUUGGAGCUUGUUUGGAGGCAUCUUGGGAGGUUAGUAUUAUGAUUCUAACCUUUAAUCCUUGUUUUGGUAGGUUUUACCUUAUAAAACCCUAGAAUGUGAACUUAGGGUUUAUUUUGGGCGUUUUGAAUCUAGGGCUUUUGGUGCUAGAUUGAUUGGUUUAGAACCUUCCAUUUCGUUGGAUUGGAAGGGUUCUAGCUCUCUUUUGGAGCUUUGGAAGAGAUUUCUUCUCUUGAGGUGAGUUUUGGCCCUUUUUACUUUCUAGGUUAAUGUUUGAUCUUAAUGAGGUUGCAUCGUAAUGCCGCGGGGGAUAUCUCUUCGUUCAAACUCUUUAGGGUAUUUUGCAGACGUGUGGACAACUGUCUUUCGGGGCUUAAACGAAAGGACCCGCCGAUGGUUUCGGGGUGGCGUUGGACCAGGGGCGCACACAAUGGGAAGCAAUCCCGAUUGUUGCUGUUUUAAAUGUCGUAAAAUAAAAAGCAUGCCAUAUUCGGUUGUUAUAUGUAUUAUUGUGAAUUUUGAAAUGCUUAAAAUUGUCCUUCUUAAACAUAUAGAAAAAUUUUUGCGGACCUCUAUGUACUAGGAGCACGCACUGUGUGAGGAUAGCAUUACUGUUGCGAUUGCAAACUAAGGCAUCACCUGCUUGAAAAUGCAACCUUCCUUCAUGCCGUUGUUAGCUUAUAAGCGCCAAUUGUGAUCAUUAGGGGGUUUUUGGAAGCCGUUAGGGGAGAGGCUUUAAGGACUGAUAAACUAUCUGACAAAGAUUGCCGGGCCAAUUCAUAAAGGAGGCAUUGCGGCCGGGCUAAACGUGAAACCUUUACGUGGAUUAUGUCUUUAAAUUGGAGAUGAGUGGGUACAGUGUUGGGCAUGCACUUAGUGUGUGGGAGUGCGAGAGUGAGUGAAAGCAGGCCAGCUAAGCAAGUGAGUGUUUGGUGUUCACGCCGCCGCGGACUGGUGGAGGCGGCGCGCCCGGGGUAGCGUGCCCAGGACCCCGGGGGGCGGCGAGUGAGUGUACACGAUAUGAGAGGUCUAAACAGACAAACGGAAAUUAAAGCAAGAGGUGAGAGCGCAUCCGGUAAAAGACAAAAAAAAAAGGUCUACAUAUAAUGCGAGAGAGAGUGAGAGAGUUCGUAGACAUCUGAUAACAGAGUAGAGAGAGAGCGCUAACCAGAAAUGGUGAGAAGUAAGUGUGCAAUGAAGAGUGGAGCGUGACAAUAACUGCGUCUGGUGGAGUUUACAAAAGUGAUCGGUCGGGUGGCGGUAUACAUGCUGCGGGUAAAACUCUUGACCUCUUCUCAAAAUAACAAUUAACGAGGAGUGUAGACCAGCGGGGGUUCCCUAAUCGAGAUGGUAUACCACCUAUCGAUCUCUAUAUAAUAUAGCCAACAUCUCUCCCGCCUUCCGCCCACGUGAGGGUCCCUAGCCUUGUUCCCCAAACGCGCUGGUCGGAGGCUCUGAACAACGAGUCAAAGAAACGUUCGGAUAGUUAAUUGAGAGAUGGAUAUUAUGGAGAGCAGCGUGAGAACUAUAAAAAUUUUAUAGUUCCCAGUGGGCAAUUACUGACACUCAGCUCAAUGCACCACUUUUAGGGCCCCCAAAAAGAAAAGCGUCCCAGUAACGACAAUUAAUAACAAACAAUUAAAGGAGUGGCGGUAGUUUGAAAGACUACUAAUCUAUCUAUGCCAUCAUAAUGCAAAGGAAAAUGCAGGGUGAAUCAACCGUCAGUAUACUAAGAAUCUGCCUAAAAAAUACUAUAUUAAAAUAUCGCUGUAGACUACUGGUCACGCCCCGAGGCCCGCCUCUUUGGCCGGCAUUCGGAGUCGACCGUAUAUACCGUAUGCUUUGACCAAAAAUGAGCGACAAGGGUUUCCCGUUAAUGUAUGACCUGACAGCGGACACAGCAGUCUCCCCUCAAACAGAGGCGCCGUCGCAAUCGUAAAAUUAUAUGUAUCAAUGUUUACGAAUUUGUCCAACCGGAGAAACAGCAUGUGUGUCAACAAAGAUUGCGAGUAAGGGAAGUAUCAAAAACUAUAAUCUACCUUGCUAUUACAAGCAUUCACAUUUCAUACAUUUGUUACAUCACAAUUCUCAUGUGAUUCUUACAUUAGCUUUCACUUCUAACUUCCAGGAACUACAAUCCGAUUUUAACAUUAGUUAUUACAACAUGGUGUUUUACAAGUUAUCACGAGUUUGGGUUGGUUCUUUACCGCAUUUUAGAUACCCCUAAGAACGACUCAGGUGCUGCUACUGGUCUCAGUGGGUAGGGCGCUAACUUACGGAGCUACGCCUUUCCUCGCCGCCGUCCCGCCCGGCUCGCUUUCGCUGACCUGCCUAAAACCCCCCGAAACAACGGUGGGGCUGGAGGCAACUAGAUUCCAUAUGUUCCCCAGUGGUUACGGGCCACCCAAGGAAAAGGCUCGACCAGUCAGUCAAAGGAGCAGAGGAGCAACAUCGUUAGUCCAAGUAGACGUAAUAUGGAAGAUCAUAAUCAUGCAACUAACAUUACCGAGCGGGCCUCAGCAGCGAGGAUAAUUUGCACAUGCAAACUGCCUUUGUAUCUUAAGAUAAAUGCCCUUCUUACUCAUUUUAUUUAUUAUCUCCAUUCUAUGAAAGUUUACUUUCUAAUAGUAGUCUUAUUAUGGAUUGCAUAAUUUACUCGCUGUGUGAUGCCUGUUCUUACUCGGUCGCUUAACCUUUUCUUACACUAAAUUGCUUUCCGACGGUAUAUAUUAUGGUUUCUUUGCGGCUUAACGUUGAGCACAUCUAGCACCUGGGUUCUUUCUUCUUUCGAAUUCAAUAUUUAUUCUCUAAUUGCAUAUUAUAGGAUUAGUUGUAAAGAGGCUACUCGUACACCCCUUAGUAACUUAUUAUUACUGACAUUAGCCUUUCUUUCUAAGCGUUACUUUACCUUAGCCAACUUUGCCCAUCCGACUCGGGGCGGUCAUUUAGCAGCUUCCCACUCUAUAUCAUGCAUCUCACAGCCAGUUGCGUAUUCAUAAGUCCGCGCUGCUGCCGGCUUCUCGCGAUGGCUGAACGAAUCAGGCCCAAAGAGACGACCUGAACCUCAGCCUUCCCUCAAUCACAAUAACCACAUCUCCCAGAUGCCGGGCUUCGCCCAGCGCGUGCCGAUCACAAUCACAUCUCAAGAUGGGUGCGAGGCGCGCGGGUGUGGUGCGAUGGAUGUGGGACCAUGCCCCGUCCAUUUAAUCCAUCCGCGAAGCAGGCGUUGCCAUUCUCUAGGCAAAGAGUCUACCCCGAUAUUUUGGGCACGAGGACAUAUCUCCCAUGCUCCACAUGCCACCCUGCCGCGUCACCUGUAUUUCCCUUGCGACUCAUACACACAUCUAUCUCUCCUCCGGAAUGAGGGAUCCGACACACGUACCCGCGGCCAUUAAGGCGGGCCAAACUAACUACGAUGCCCCGCCCACUUUGCUUCUGCCAGCCGCUCUCGCCCUGAGCAUGAGCUCAGGUAGCGCAUCUCAGUGGCUAACUCGAACUUCACAUUCACUCGAGGGUUGGUCUCACCCUGUCUGUACUAAGUUAAUACUCUGACUUAUCUACGGUCCCAAGCCUCGGGUUACUGUUGGCUACCGCUAUAUGCCGCUUAAAACUACUUUAAUGCCCCAUCUCUCAAUAGAUUUCUAUUCUUCUCUAGGGCUCUCUCCGUAAGCUGUUUAGUUGUGACACUAAGUUCAACAUUCUAAUGACACGGUAGUGAGGAAUAGUAUUAUCAUAGGGAUGAAUGCGUAUGCAGCCCAAUAGAGUCAUUGAUACGUCCCUGAGAGUUCUUAUAUCAUGUACAUUUACAAUCCUCAUUAUCUUUGUAUUUCCACUAACUAGUAAGCCUUACUUGGAUGUAUCCAAAUUGCCAACAAGUUCUUGAUCAUAUGUCUAUAGUUGUCACACACCUAGAAUCAUAUUAUAUACCAGCGUCCAAGCUGAUCUGAAUAACCUAUGUGCAUCGACACCUAGGUUAAUUCUAUUGUAUCAACAACCGUAUUUCUGACACAUAUAAUAAUGUGUCUUAUGAUGUCCACUCAUGGAAUCUAUAGUCAUAUUCAAUGUACAACUUACACAAUAUCCUAGGUAUGUACUUAGCAUUCCCUCAUACUGUAUCAUUAUGCAUGCUAUUACUUACUCUUUCAUGUCAUUUUAAAUCUAUGAUUCUCACACAUACGGUGAUCACGUCAUACAUUAACUCAUAUGUUUACGAGAGCGUACAUGCUCAACAUGCCUGUUAACAUCUUUACCAUACAUCUCAUCGAAAACAAUUUCUAAUAUAACAUGAUCCCAAGUAUCUAACCGGUAGUAUUCUUGUAACCAUAUAUUCACUAUCAAUUUAAGGCUAUAAGCAGAUUCCUCCACUAUGUAUUAAAUAGACAACAUUAUUCCCCCCAUACGAUCGAGACCGCUCUUAGCGUAGCAACUUCAAGUACACUAGGCACCAGAACCGUCCAGACAUGAACUCCAUACUUACCUAACAUGACUGUCCCUCCUAAGGUGACAUCCCUUAUCUUAGCAUCCUCCUGAGCAUGGCAUUGUAUACACUUUAUUAGCAGUCCCCCCCCCCCCCCCUUAUGUGCAUGCUUAUAACAUUCUUAUUAUGCAUUCUUUACUUAUUCUAUAUCAUCAAUAGUGAAAACACACGUACACUUUUUGGCCAUGAAGCGACCUAGUCGCUUCCGGUAAGCACAAACCCACCUUUUAACGCUUAUUCCGGAUGCUAUAUGCUCUGCGUCAACUUGCAAUCGGCCCUCCCCGGCAUCCGAGACCCGUUCGGCGUCGAAUCUUGCUGCGAUCUCAGUUGGGGGAGCGACCCCUCCAAGCGCAGACAGCCCCUAUGUGAGCACGAUCAACUCCGAACUACGAACCACAUCCGAACCUGCGAAAUCCGUCUUUUCGGAGUUUAUUCCCGACAUCGCGAUUAGCUCCCGAUUCCCAUUUUCGCAUUGAGUUACCCAUUGAACUAUAGGAGGGGGGCGGUCAAUUCAUCAUGGAAUCGAAUCCCGCGUGCUGCGCGUAUCUGUUACCAAAAGCAUGAUGUUUCGUCAAGGAUGCUCUUGUCUUUCGGCUCUGUCGGUAAUCUCCGUCAGAUACCUCAGUGAGGCAGUGUCAACAACACGCUAGGGGUCGCUUUUAUACCACCCAAUUACUAGAUUGUUUCUGUUAUGGCCAAUAGGGGUGUGUUUCAAUGAUACAUCAAACUCAACAAUAUUCUAUAUGCCUUCACAUCAUUACAAGUAAAUCUCUCUUAUGGAGCUAACCUUAGAUGUUAUGCAACUAUCUAUUUCGCAAAAUGUUCCAGUCUAUCUACGUAUGUAAAUCAAUUAUUCAAACUCCACUAGAGUUCCACUGUCUACAUUUAUUAGGUCUUAAGAGAAUCCCUACUAUAGAUUUUAUAUAAUCNNNNNNNNNNNNNNNNNNNNNNNNNACAAUAUGUGAGCGGUAUUAGAGAGGGAUAUUUCCUUCUCUCACUCACUCCCUCAGCCUCUUUCUCUCUCUCCCUCUCUCUGAUCGUGCGAAGCAGGGAAAGAAGGAAAAAGGGAGAAAGAAAGGAGAGAAAGGAAAAGAGAGGAAGAAAAAGAAGGAGAAGAUGGGGAGAUGCAGGAGAUCGUCGCCAUCGUCAUCCUCUUCGUCUUCUUCUUCUCCUUGGAGCUCUUGGAGAGGUGAGUUUCAUGGCUUCUCAUGGUGAUUUCUUUGAGAUGGUUCUAAAAACCCUAGAAAUGGAUUUAGUUGUACCCUAGCAUGCUAUUUAGAUUAUUUCACCCCAAAUCAUAGAUCGAUUUGGUGGAUUUGGCAAUAAUGGCAUCUAGGGCAUCAAAGAGGGGUUUUUGUUAAUAGAUGAGAUUGAUCUCAUUUGACCCCUUGUUAACCUAAUUGGUAGGUAACGAAACACGUUGGCGAAGUCGGUUCGGCGAUCCGACGAGUCGUCGCGAAGGUGUUGAAGAAACGGGCGCUCGGAGCUUCAUUUCCGCCUGGGAGGCCGAGGCAACGUCCAUAAAUCGUGAAAUCGGGUCCCGAGCACCGUAGCGGCAAGGCGAAGGUCACUGACACUCGAAACAGCGAAGCGGCGCGCUCUUGGGGGAGCCACUGUAAGAUCGGGCCCAAGCGGGUGCUGAGUGCCGCGGGAGGCCGAUUGCAAGUGUCGACGAGCAAUCGGAAAGCUAUCUAAGGUGGGUUGUGCUUACCGAAGCGACUAGGUCGCCCUUAUGCCUUAGCAAUGUAAUCACUUGUUGAUGCAUGUGCGUGUAGACAUGAGUAAAGUAAGAAUGCAUAUUAGAUAAGAUGCAUAGAGUAAAUGUUAAGUAAUGUAAAGAACGCAUGCUAACAAUAAUGCAUAAGAUAGAAAUGCUAAGUAGGAUGCAUGAGGCAUGAAGAUGCAUAGAGUAAAUGCUAAGUGAGAAGCAUGAGGUAAUAACUCUAGAGUGGAUUGGACAACUAGGUAGUCAGAUAGAUCGAGUGGCAUCUAACCUAGUGUUAGUGAACCUAGAGUCGAACAAUCUAGGUGUGUGGCAUUGAACCUAGUGAUAGUAAACCUAGGUCGAACUAGCAAACCUAGAAAUGGACAUCUAGGCAAAGAGGACAAGAACCUAACAAGUGUACCUAAGUUAAGUGACAUGGACAUAGAACCUAGAGUGUUGGAACCUAGGUUGAUGAGUAUAGUGGUAUAGCCACUAGGAUGAGAUAGGUCGACAAUAUAGGGUUGGUUAUGAACCCUCGACCUGUGGAAAGUAGAUCCCGGAAUCCCAGGACUUUUGAUGUCCCUAGUACAAGCUAGGGCGUGUGUGCGACGACUUCGCCGCCGAGCUUGGUACUGCGGGUAGAUUGGGCGUGACCACGUGGAGAUCACCGCCCGGGGCUUGAGCCAUUGCCGUGGCGUUUGUGCGACGUUUUCGCCGCCAGGAUGGUUAAGCCAUUGAGGAUCAGGCCGCCAGAGCAGAUUGAUGCCAUGCUGGGUAAGUACGAUGCGGGUGCCUCCAGGUGGCUGAGUCUGACAUGACCGUUGUUGGGUGUGGUGCGAUCCGUUCGCCGCCAGACGGUAUGUCAUGUCUCGAGCCCACGCUGGGUAAGAGCAACGCGAUCGCCACCAGAUGGUUAGGUCGUGCGACUCGAGCCGAGCUUAGCGUGUGCGACGACUUCGCCGCUAGGGGGCUGGGAGCGGUAGGCUGUUGAGCAGCCAGCGCGCGGGCUAUCCGCGGAUGAUUGACUCGAAGCCGAGUCGGGUGGUUAGCUAUGAUAGGGCAGAGGAACCCUUAUGAGCUAGAGAUAGAGGCUUGAGCUAAGGUAAAUAGAAACCUUAGAAGCUAGUGGUUGGUGUUGUGAUCCUAAGGUAAUAGAAACCUUGGAGUAAAAUUAUGAGCUAAAGUAGCAAGUAAAAGUAGAAUUCAAGUGAUCUACUAGUUGUUGCAUGAUUUUCAUAUCGCAUAUUGUUAGGCCUGACAUGUAUUCAAUUGAAUAUAUUCGCAUUGUAUAUUGUUGAACUGACAUGUUGUAGGGCCUACUUAGACCUAUCGGUCGAGCUUUUCCCUUGGGUGGCCGUACCCACUGGGAACCAUGGAGUUGGUUCUCACCCCACGUUGUUUUGGGGUUUUCAGGUCGUUCGUGUGCGGCGCGGCGGCGCGAGGCGAGGGCUUAGCUCAGCAGAUAGUGCCCCACCACAGAGACCGAGGUAGCAAUACCCUGAGGCAGUCUAGCUUAGGGGUCUAGAAGGCAAGAAUCAAGAUGUAUCAAACUUGUAAAAUAAAAGAUGUAAUACAUUGUGAUUGUAAUCGGAAGUAAAAUGUAAACUGAUUUGAGAUGUGUUUAACUGAAUGCUUGUAAUAGCAAGUAGAUUAUGUAUUUGAUACUUCCUGAUGCAAUCUGGAUUGAUAUCCGUUCCUUGUUGGAACAUUCGUUGAUUGUUUGGAUUGCGACGCCUUGGACGUACUGGGGAGACUCUGUCCGCGUACAGGGGAAUUCCCGGUCCGUUCGGCGGUCUGUCGGCGGCGCCGCGACCCGGUCCAAAUAGGCGGUUGGUCGCGGGGCGUGACACAAGAUGCCUCCAAACAAGCUCCAAAUCUUCUAGGGUUGAAGAUUGGUCCACCACUAAGCUCUACAAGCAAGCUCCAAGCCAAGCAAGGGUGGAAAGGAGAGAAAGGGGUUGAGCUCCAAGCUCCCUCAAGCAAGCUCCUCUUCUUCUUCUCCUCCUUUUCCUUUUUCUCUCUUUAGAAGGUGUAGGGAGAGGGUGAGAAAUGAGGAGGGAAGAGAGUAAAAUGGCCUUAUAGACCAUUUAGAGCAACAAAAUCCAGAGAGGCCCCUCAAAAACUCAAAUUUACAUCAGCCCGGACUGGGCAGUUUUCGCCCAGAGGGACCGGUCUCUCCCUGCAAGGGACCGGUCUCUCGUGUCGCACCCGAGAAACCAACGUUCGGGAACCGGUCUCUCUCUGCGCUGGACCGGUCUCUCACUGCGAAGACGCGCUCGGGGACCGGUCUCGCCAGCCAGGGGCCGGUUGCCUCGCCGGCUGCGCAACACUGUUCACUGGGGGACCGGUCUCUUCUUUCAGGGACCGGUCCCCGAGAGUAAAAACUCUCAGGACUCGUCCAAAACUCAGGUUUUCGAACUUUUUGGAUCGAAAAACAUUCUACGACCCUCCACCAAGUGUGGAAAAGCUCGAAACACAUCCAAUCACUCGAACAUUGCAAUUUGCAAAGGUCCAGUGCAUUACAGUUGGGAUAUCACUUUGUUACAUAGAGCUAGACCGUUGGGUUACUAGUAGCUACUACCAUGUUUGAGACAUAAGGAUUGGACACUUGAGACUUGGACUAUGCUUGCUUGUCAUUUGUGCUCAUUCGCACAUGCUUGUGAGGGUCGCUCCCUACAAGCCGGCACUCCGGAGUUAGCCUAUGCGACUUAUGUUCGCUCGUGCGGUAUUGAGAGGCCUACGGGGUCGAGUGGGACAGACACAUUCCAAGAGUAGGGAUAUUGGGCUACCACAGGCACUUAGGCGGCACAAACUGGACUACCUUUGGUAGGUCCUUAAUUGGAAAUGGAAAUCGACACGGUGUUGAGAAUGAAUAAUCACUACUAGAUAGGCUUAGUAGUUGGAUUACUUGACAUGCUCAUGACAUAGCUUUGGGGCAUAUAGUAUACUGGGUCGCUUUGAUAGAGCUUACUCCUUAUGCAUUGACAUAUUGCAUCGUGAGG
rnacentral:lncRNA from 1 species